rnacentral:ncRNA from 1 species
AAUGCAGAGGUUGCGAUGACAAUGAGUCGGCUGCGGAGGCGAAAAAAGCGCUGAUGAAACAGUACAAAAGGUGUCAUCGCCGAAAGAGGAAAUGCUUUUUUCAUAUCUUCUUGGAACUGGAUCAAAUAGGUCUAGGGCUGUCAAUGUACAUCCACAUUGUUGUGCUGC